GAUGAAGAACGCAGCGAAAUGCGAUAAGUAAUGUGAAUUGCAGAAUUCAGUGAAUCAUCGAAUCUUUGAACGCACAUUGCGCCCCCUGGUAUUCCGGGGGGCAUGCCUGUCCGAGCGUCAUUACAACCCUCAAGCUCAGCUUGGUGUUGGGCCCCGCCGCCCCGGCGGGCCCUAAAAUCAGUGGCGGUGCCGUCCGGCUCCGAGCGUAGUAAUUCUUCUCGCUCUGGAGGUCCGGUCGUGUGCUCGCCAGCAACCCCCAAUUUUUUUCAGGUUGACCUCGGAUCAGGUAGGGAUACCCGCUGAACUUAAGCAUAUCAAUAAGCGGAGGA
rnacentral:misc_RNA from 1 species